rnacentral:misc_RNA from 1 species
AACGCACAUUGCGCCCUCUGGUAUUCCGGGGGGCAUGCCUGUUCGAGCGUCAUUACAACCCUCAAGCUCUGCUUGGUAUUGGGCGUCACCCUCUGGGCGUGCGCCUUAAAAUCAGUGGCGGUGCCACUCGGCUUCAAGCGUAGUAAUUCUUCUCGCUCUGGAGGACCGGGUGUGUGCUAGCCAGCAACCCCCAAUUUUUAAGGUUGACCUCGGAUCAGGUAGGGAUACCCGCUGAACUUAA